AGACGAACCGUACGAACGUUAUUCGGAAUUACUGGGCUUAAAGAGUACGUAGGCGGCCUGGCAAGUUGGGUGUGAAAUCCCUCGGCUCAACCGAGGAACUGCGCUCAAAACUGCCAGACUUGAGGGAGAUAGAGGUGAGCGGAACAGAUGGUGGAGCGGUGAAAUGCGUUGAUAUCAUCUGGAACACCGGUGGCGAAAGCGGCUCACUGGGUCUCUUCUGACGCUGAGGUACGAAAGCUAGGGUAGCGAACGGGAUUAGAUACCCCAGUAGUCC
rnacentral:rRNA from 1 species